GCUGUGAUGGCCGAGUGGUUAAGGCGUUGUUGGACUUGAAAUCUAAUGGGGUCUCCCCGCGCAGCAGGUUCGAACCCUGCUCGCAGCG